ACGCUUGAGUGGGCAUGGUUUUCAUCUAUGACUGGUAGCAGCAAUGUCGGUCUGUGUUUUGCAUGCAGAUCUUGUUAUCCACACAAAUAUCACGCAGCCAAAGAGAAACUCGGGAUCAUAGUACUGAUCUAGUGUUGUCUCUUAGGACACACCUCUGGAAUUUGGCCAGCCUCCAAAUUCCCUCACACAG